AUGGAGGUAUUUGGAAAAUCUAUGGUUACGAUGCCAAGUAAUGUUAUAUAUCUGUCAACUAUUCUGGGCCAGGAUGGGCUAAACUCUGUCCACAAGUGCGAUUGGAAAUGUGAAAAUGAAAAUGUGUGUGGAAACAUGUAUCGCUGCAAACUAACUGGAACCACUCACAUCUGUGACAAAAACUGUAACCAAAGAAUUUUGUAUGAUAACAAUAACUCCCUAUGCAGAGUUAGCAGGCAUAUUUUCCCAUUAACGCCAGCUGAGGAACAGGCUGUGAAAGGUGUGCGUAGAAAGCUUGAUGCUGAGAGUUCCCCCUCAGAUAGUUGCACUUUUAAGCGUAGGCGGAGCGCACAGUUUCAUCCCUCUCCUUUUGAGAGAUCAUUCUCUGCUGUUGGUCCAAUCUCCAGUCAAAUUGGAGAUGGCAUGGACAUGAGCUAGACUGCUAGACAUUAUGCUUGACAAACUCCUAUCCUCUUUUCUUUUUUUCCUUUUUCUUUAUGACUCAACUCUUUCGGGCAAGAAUGGUUAUUUGUGCUUAAUUUAGGCAUUUCAAAGGCAGAUGUAAUCAUCUUGCCCAUCUGUGGGAAAAACUUUUAUUUGAAUCGUGAAUGUAUUGUAGCACUCCGAUUACCUAACUUCUAUAGGAGUUUGGAUAUUCUAUAUUAUUGUUAACUUCUAUUAUUAAACCCAAGUUACAGGUGAAGUUGCUCUGGUAGUAUAAUUAUGCUAAUUGCAGUGUGCUUUGCACGAAUUGAUAGUUUUAAGGAUUGCCCUUAUUUUGUCUAGUCUACUUUGUUAACGCUUUAUAUAUUGUGUUAUUGUGUCUUACAUAUGUUCAUUCAUUACUUGACAGUAUUUUUUCCUUCUGGAGACCUGUACGCAGUUUCUUAAUAUAUGUAUUUUUGGUUAUACCUUCAUGGCUUCACAGGAUGUAGCUAAUUCGGUUCGUGGUUAUGUUUAUAUUACACAGCGCAUAAGUUAAACCUCCUUGAUUUUGACUUUGGUGAUGUCUUGUACAAUUUCAGGUUCAGCAGGAAAUACCAGUUCAGCUGCACUUCUUUUUUAGUUUCUACAGCUGUUAUUUGUUUAUAGAUUUAUAUGAAUUCCUAACUUGGCCUUCUGUUUCAUGUCUCCUGAAAAUAAUGUGUCAUCUUGCAGGCUAAAGCAUAUACUUCUCUGGAAACUUGCAUAGAGUUUAAUAUCAUAUCUUAGUAAAUUAUGUGGAGUAAGUUUUUUCUGACUUCUCUCUUCUGUGUUCCUUUUUUUUUUUCCCAGAAAAUUUCAGACGGAGUGAGUAUUUGUCGCAGAGAACCAUUUUUUGGCACAUAUUAUGUCUUUGAACCCCUUGAUUGGAAACACUAUACUGAUGGACCAUUUGAGGACAUUGCGUAAAUGUGUUUUCGAUAAGGUGCAAAAUCCCUCGUAAUGACUGCAGUUUCUGCAUAAGCUCAACUUCGAUUGUGUGAAGGUCCAAAAGCCUUUGCCAAUGAUGACUGAUUGAAGUUUCUGCAUAAGCUCGGGUUCUAUCUUACUAGUUCUUGAGUUCUGAUUUGCAUUGGAUAUUGACUAACCAACACUGCAAGAAUGUGCUGAAGAGCUUUACCAUGAUGUGGCUGGAUGAAGAAAACAUUCAGGAGUGAGCAUGUACGACAGAGAAUCAGGAACAAGUUCUUUGUCCACAUCAUGUCAGUGAAUGCCUUUUCGGUGUUGGAACUGACAAACCAUUUGAGGACAUUGCCUAACUGUGAUUUUGAUAAGCUGCAAAGCCCUUGUUUCUGAUUGCAGUUUCUGCAUAAGCUCAACCCUGAAUCUAGCCUAAGAGUGAUUCCGCGAAGGUGCUAAAGCCUUUCUUAAUGAAUACUGAUUGAAGUUUCUGUAAGCUCGUCUUCUAUCUGUACCAGUUCUUAAGUUUGGUUUUGCUGAAACAAACUUUUGGAUAUUAGCAAACCUACAAGAUUGUGCUGAAGUUUUACCAUGAUGUCUUUCAUUUAGCCCAGCUUAGCUUAUCUGGGAAGAUUCUACAUUAAUGUUUUACUCAUAGCUUUGCUACUAAUUCAACACAGAUCCUUAAUUUGUAAAUGUUUGUUAUCAAAUUCUCAGUGCAAUGUAUUUUGGGUGUUUAUAUAUUUUAAA